AUAAAGUCCACACUGGAGAUUAGGAAAAACUUUCUAACUGUGAGGAUGGUUGAGCAUUGGCACAGGCUACAUAGAGAAGCUACGGGAUCUCCAUUCCUGGAAAUUUUCA